GGGGCUGUGGCCUAGUCAGGUAUGGCGACGGGCUCCAGCGGUAUGAUUGAUGAUGAGCAACGGGUCUGCUGAGGCCUCUCGACGGGGAGGCCGUUGAUGAUCCGUUGGAGCACUGAGAGGUCUGCUCUCGGUAUCGGAGAGACCCGUCGAUCGUGCGUUCGAAUCGCACCAGCCCCA
rnacentral:tRNA from 1 species